rnacentral:rRNA from 1 species
GAUGAACGCUGGCGGCGUGCCUAAUACAUGCAAGUCGAGCGAACGGACGAGAAGCUUGCUUCUCUGAUGUUAGCGGCGGACGGGUGAGUAACACGUGGAUACCCUACCUAUAAGACUGGGAUCACUUCGGGAAACCGUAUCUAAUACCGGAUAAUAUUUUGCACCGCAUGGUUCAAAAGUGAAAGACGGUCUUGCUGUCACUUAUCGCUGGAUCCGCGCUGCUUUAGCUAGUUGGUAGGGUAACGGCUUACCAAGGCAACGAUGCAUAGCCGACCUGAGAGGGUGAUCGGCCACACUGGAGCGGAGACACGGUCCAGACUCCUGCGGGAGGCAGCAGUAGGGAAUCUUACGCAAUGGGCGAAAGCCUGACGGAGCAACGCCGCGUGAGUGAUGAAGGUCUUCGGAUCGUAAAACUCUGUUAUGAGGGAAGAACAUAUGUGUAAGGAACUGUGCACAUCGUGACGGUACCUAAUCAGAAAGCAACGGCUAACUACGUG